AGCACGGGGAGGGGGCGCGCUCGCGAGGGGCGGCGACGUGCCUCAGCCGGGCGCGCGCGCCCAGCGGGCUCUGAGGGAGCGCCCGGCGCGGGCAGGAAUCGUGCCCGCCAGCCCCGGCUGCGGUACUGGGGCGACCCCACACACACCCCUCCCGUUAGCCGCGGGCAGGGAAAAGGGCAAGCCUCAGGGAGGCAGUCUGUCCUCCGAAGGGGAUGUUACUCACCAUAAUUUAAAAAAAAAAAAAAAAAAUGCAGCUUUGGGGAAGGUGAACAGCCGCUCUGAGAUCAUUUCCCACAACGGUCUGAGCCAUCGUCUUUUAAACUGUGACAUGUGCAGAUGACUAUAUCAUUUUUAAGACACUAGUCCUUGAAUCGUUCCGCCAUCUCUCACCCGCGCUCACAAGGCACCCCUUAAUUAGCAACUAAACGGUGAGGGGAGGAAACAAAACAAUUCAAUAUCCAUACUGCAUUGAGACUUCUAAAGGGGGCUACAGUUGCCAGCCCCCUGCCUGUCUUUCGUAAUUUAUCCUGGCGCUUUCCAGGUCAGUGUAAAGUAACCCAGGCGCUCGGUUCCCCAGCUCCGGACUCCUUUGAUGUUAUCUGCUCUUGUUGCAGGUACACUUGGAGGCUGAUAAGGUAACAGGAAUUAGACCCUGAACUCUGCUCCUCACAAAGACAUGGCUUUCUUUCCCUGCUCGUUCCUCUUAUUUUCCAUUCUACAGAAGAAGCUCACAGUCCCUACUCUCUUCUUCUGGAACUGAGGAGUGAGGGGUCAUCAUGAACACCACUGGUAGACACACAAGCAAAUCUUCCAGGGAAGGGGAGUGAGAGAAACUUGAAUAUUUGAUUGAAUAAUGCUCUUCUUUGAAGAUAUUUUAUACCUGCAUACCACCAUUUAUUUAGUAUAGCUUGUAUCCUCUCUUUCUUCGAUUCUGAAAUGAAAGAAAAAUCAAGAAAUCAGAGCAAGCCACAACCUGGGUAAUUGAUCUUUAGUUCCCAUUGCACUCCACUUUUCCGUCAGAACACUUAUGAUGGCUGAGUUGGGUUGUAAACUCUACAAAGCAGGAGUUGUGCUCUGUGGUUCAUUAUAUUUUUAGUAUCUAGCAGAAUCCUGAUCCCACCUGGCCUCUUAUUUAUAUUUGAGUGAAGGAAAGAAGGGUGGUAACCUAAGUAGUAGCAGGAUGUUGAUGCUACUAGGGAAAUAAAUGUUAAUAUGUGUAACAUAUUUAUGAACACUUUGUUCAUUUACUAUUAUAAAAUUAUUGCUUCUUGCGCUGGGGUUGUAGCUCAGUUGUAGAGUCCUUGCCUCACAUGUGGAAGGCACUGGAUUCGAUCCUCUGGUCACCACAUAAAAAUAAAAAUAAAGGU
rnacentral:lncRNA from 1 species